GAUGAAGAACGUAGCGAAAUGCGAUAACUAAUGUGAAUUGCAGAAUUCCGUGAAUCAUCGAGUCUUUGAACGCACAUUGCGCCCCCUGGUAUUCCGGGGGGCAUGCCUGUCCGAGCGUCAUUGCUGCCCAUCAAGCACGGCUUGUGUGUUGGGUCCCGUCCCCCUCUCCCGGGGGACGGACCCGAAAGGCAGCGGCGGCACCGCGUCCGGUCCUCGAGCGUAUGGGGCUUUGUCACCCGCUCUUGUAGGCCCGGCCGGCGCUUGCCGACACCCAACCAUCUUUUUCAGGUUGACCUCGGAUCAGGUAGGGAUACCCGCUGAACUUAAGCAUAUCAAUAAGCGGAGGA
rnacentral:misc_RNA from 1 species